CUGCUGGGGACAGACGUGCAGGUGGAAGCGGCACCUGCCGCCCUGGAGCUCGUGUGCCCGUCCUCGGUGCAGAGUGACGAGAGCCUCGACCUCAGCAUCCAGAACCGCGGUGGUUCAGGCCUGGAGGCCGCCUACAGCAUCGUGGCCCUGGGCGAGGAGCCGGCCCGAGCGGUGCACCCGCUCUGCCCCUCGGACACGGAGAUCUUCUCUGGCAAUGGGCACUGCUACCGCCUGGUGGUGGAGAAGGCGGCCUGGCUGCAGGCGCAGGAGCAGUGUCGGGCCUGGGCCGGGGCCACCCUGGCAAUGGUGGACAGUCCCGCCGUGCAGCGCUUCCUGGUCUCCCGGGUCACCAGGGGGUGGAGGUGGGCCCAGCGCCGCAGGGCGAGGCCUUCAGCCUGGAGAGCUGCCAGAACUGGCUGCCCGGGGAGCCACACCCAGCCACAGCUGAGCACUGCGUCCGGCUCGGGCCCACCGGGUGGUGUAACACCGACCUGUGCUCAGCGCCGCACAGCUACGUCUGCGAGCUGCGGCCUGGAGGCCCAGUGCAGGAUGCCGAGAACCUCCUCGUGGGAGCGCCCAGUGGGGACCUGUAGGGACCCCUGAUGCCUCUGGCACGGCAGUACGGCCUCUCAGCCCCGCACGAGCCCCUGGAGGUCAUGGUAUUCCCGGGCCUGCGUCUGAGCCGUGAAGCCUUCCUCACCACGGCCGAAUUUGGGACCCAGGAGCUCCGGCGGCCCGCCCAGCUGCGGCUGCAGGUGUACCGGCUCCUCAGCACAGCAGGGACCCCGGAGAACGGCAGCGAGCCUGAGAGCAGGUCCCCGGACAACAGGACCCAGCUGGUCCCCGCGUGCAUGCCAGGGGGACGCUGGUGCCCUGGAGCCAACAUCUGCUUGCCGCUGGACGCCUCCUGCCACCCCCAGGCCUGCGCCAAUGGCUGCACGUCAGGGCCAGGGCUACUCGGGUCCCCCUAUGCGCUAUGGAGAGAGUUCCUCUUCUCCGUUCCCGCGGGGCCCCCCGCGCAGUACUCGGUCACCCUCCACGGCCAGGAUGUCCUCAUGCUCCCUGGUGACCUCGUUGGCUUGCAGCACGACGCUGGCCCUGGCGCCCUCCCGCACUGCUCGCCGGCUCCCGGCCACCCUGGUCCCCAGGCCCCGUACCUCUCCGCCAACGCCUCGUCAUGGCUGCCCCACUUGCCAGCCCAGCUGGAGGGCACUUGGGCCUGCCCUGCCUGUGCCCUGCGGCUGCUUGCAGCCACGGAACAGCUCACCGUGCUGCUGGGCCUGAGGCCCAACCCUGGGCUGCGGCUGCCUGGGCGCUAUGAGGUCCGGGCAGAGGUGGGCAAUGGCGUGUCCAGGCACAACCUGUCCUGCAGCUUUGACGUGGUCUCCUCAGUGGCUGGGCUGCGGGUCAUCUACCCUGCCCCCCGCGACGGCCGCCUCUACGUGCCCACCAACGGCUCAGCCUCGGUGCUCCAGGUGGACUCUGGUGCCAGCGCCACGGCCACGGCUUGCUGGCCUGGGGGCAGUGUCAGCGCCCGCUUUGAGAAUGCCUGCCCUGCCCUGGUGGCCACCUUCGUGCCCGGCUGCCCCUGGGAGACCAAUGAUACCCUGUUCUCAGUGGUAGCACUGCCGUGGCUCGGUGAGGGGGAGCACGUGAUGGACGUUGUGGUGGAAAACAGCGCCAGCCGGGCCAACCUCAGCCUGCGGGUGACGGCGGAGGAGCCCAUCUGUGGCCUCCGCGCCACGCCCAGCCCCGAGGCCCGUGUACUGCAGGGAGUCCCAGUGAGGUACAGCCCCGUGGUGGAGGCCGGCUCGGACAUGGUCUUCUGGUGGACCAUCAACGACAAGCAGUCCCUGACCUUCCAGAACGUGGUCUUCAAUGUCAUUUAUCAGAGCGCGGCGGUCUUCAAGCUCUCACUGACGGCCUCCAACCACGUGAGCAACGUCACCGUGAACUACAACAUCACCGUGGAGCGGAUGAACAGGAUGCAGGGCCUGCGGGUCUCUACAGUGCCAGCCGUGCUGUCCCCCAAUGCCACGCUGGCACUGACGGCGGGCGUGCUGGUGGACUCGGCCGUGGAGGUGGCCUUCCUGUGGACCUUUGGGGAUGGGGAGCAGGCCCUCCACCAGUUCCAGCCUCCAUACAACGAGUCCUUCCCGGUUCCAGACCCCUCGGUGGCCCAGGUGCUGGUGGAGCACAAUGUCACCCACACCUACGCUGCCCCAGGUGCUGAUCCGCAGUGGCCGGGUGCCCAUUGUGUCCUUGGAGUGUGUGUCCUGCAAGGCACAGGCCGUGUACGAAGUGAGCCGCAGCUCCUACGUGUACCUGGAGGGCCGCUGCCUCAAUUGCAGCAGCGGCUCCAAGCGAGGGCGGUGGGCUGCACGUACGUUCAGCAACAAGACGCUGGUGCUGGAUGAGACCACCACAUCCACGGGCAGCGCAGGCAUGUGACUGGUGCUGCGGCGGGGCGUGCUGCGGGACGGCGAGGGAUACACCUUCACGCUGACGGUGCUGGGCCG
ensembl:lncRNA novel transcript